rnacentral:rRNA from 1 species
CACGGGGGGAACGAGCGUUGUUCGGAUUUACUGGGCGUAAAGGGUGCGUAGGCGGGUCGGCAAGUCGGGUGUGAAAUUCUAUGGCUUAACCAUGGAUCUGCAUUCGAAACUGUUGGUCUUGAGUACUGGAGAGGUGAGUGGAAUUCUCGGUGUAGCGGUGAAAUGCGUAGAUAUCGAGAGGAACACCGUUGGCGAAGGCGGCUCACUGGACAGAUACUGACGAUGAGGCACGAAGGUCGGGGGAGCAAACAGG